UCAUAUCAUAUUUCAUAGUUUUUUAAUAUAUUUUUUUUUGUAUUAAAACGACCGAGUAUCGAGAUCAAUGGUAAUGAAAUAAGUUGACACCGCGUCUCGUCAAAACAUGUUCAAUUCGAAUUUACUCGGAAUUACACGUUCAACGAACAUUUCCUGUGAAACCUGAUUAAAGAAAAAUUACUGUAGACACCUAAUAGUGAUUUGUACAGAAGCGAGCCCCGGCAGGAAUGAUGGCCUCUUUUGAAAUGAAGAUUCCAUGCCUUACUCCUACUGGGACUACAACUAACUUUGGACCUGGUCACUCGCAGAUACAGCAUGAAGUGUGCCCUCUUGAUGUACAUGGGAAUGGGAGUGAUACAGAAGGGGGACUAAUUGGAAGAACUGCUGCUGCUGGUGGUGGUGCUGGACUGUCUUGAAUAUGUGGCCUAACCGAGUUGAUAUUCUUCUGUUUAAUAUGGGAGCAACACACACACUCUGGCAUCUAUUGCACAGAAAAUCAUGAUCAGAUGGUGCCCUCCCUAUCAGAGUGGUGAUCACUGUCCUAUAUUUCUUUGAAAUCCUGGAUCUGUGUUUUGGUUUUACUCUCCAUGGACAAUUGAAACAGAGAAAGAAUUUGGGACCAUUCCUUGGCAUAUUUGAAAUAUUUAUGUCAUAUACAUGUAAUUGAAAUUAUACAAUUUGGGUUGGAUGAAAAUCUUAUCUUCAUGUUAAAACCCAUUAGCCUAGGUUAUUUUUCCUAAAAUCUAAUUAUAAAUCAAUUAACUUGUUAAUUAAUGCUUGGUGAAUCAAUUAAUAAAUUGUAUUCAAAAACUUGGAAUCAUUUUUUCCCACUAAUAAACUGAAAAU